CCUACGGGAGGCAGCAGUGAGGAAUAUUGGUCAAUGGACGAGAGUCUGAACCAGCCAAGUAGCGUGAAGGAUGACUGCCCUAUGGGUUGUAAACUUCUUUUAUAUGGGACUAAAAUGUUCCACGUGUGGGAUUUUGUAUGUACCAUAUGAAUAAGGAUCGGCUAACUCCGUGCCAGCAGCCGCGGUAAUACGGAGGAUCCGAGCGUUAUCCGGAUUUAUUGGGUUUAAAGGGAGCGUAGGGGGAUUGUUAAGUCCGUUGUGAAAGUUUGCGGCUCAACCGUAAAAGUGCAGUUGAAACUGGCAGUCUUGAGUACAGGAGAGGUGCGCGGAAUUCGUGGUGUAGCGGUGAAAUGCAUAGAUAUCACGAAGAACUCCGAUUGCGAAGGCAGUUCACUGGACUGCAACUGACACUGAGGCUCGAAAGUGUGGGUAUCAAACAGGAUUAGAUACCCUAGUAGUC
rnacentral:rRNA from 1 species